rnacentral:rRNA from 1 species
AACGCUGGCGGCAUGCCUAAUACAUGCAAGUCGAACGAACGGACCCUUUGACUGAGGAGUGCUUGCACAAAUCAAGAUUAGGAUUUUCCGUUAGUGGCGAACGGGUGAGUAACACGUGGGUAACCUACCUAGAAGUGAGGGAUAACUAUUGGAAACGAUGGAUAAUACCUCAUANGAAUAUGAUAUAUAAAGUAUCAUAUUUUAAAGAUGCGUUUGCAUCGCUACUAGAUGGGCCUGCGGUGCAUUAGCUAGUUGGUAAGGUAAGAGCUUACCAAGGCGACGAUGUAUAGCCGGACUGAGAGGUUGAACGGCCACACUGGGACUGAGACACGGCCCAGACACCUACGGGUGGCAGCAGUANGGAAUUUUUCGCAAUGGGGGCAACCCUGACGGAGCAAUGCCGCGUGAAUGAUGAANGUUUUCGGAUCGUAAAAUUCUGUUGUAAGGGAAGAAAAGCUAUAUUAGGAAAUGAAUAUAGUCUGACGGUACCUGACGAGAAAGGGACGGCUAACUACGUGCCAGCAGCCGCGGUAAUACGUAGUCCCGAGCGUUAUCCGGAAUUAUUGGGCGUAAAGAGCAUGUAGGCGGUUAAUUAAAUCUGGUGUGAAAUCUAGUGGCUCAACCACUAAAAGCAUUGGGAACUGAUUAACUANAAUACUGGAGGGGCAAGUGGAAUUCAUGUGUACCGGUGGGAUGCGUUAAUAUAUGGAGGAACACCAAAAGGCGAAGGCACCUNCUNGACAAAAAAUGACCCUAAAUCCAAAANUUUGGGAACAAACAGGAUUAAUANCCUGGUNNCCCCACCGUUAACAAUAGUUCUAUUUUUGGGGAAACNCAUUACGAAGCUAACNCAUNACCCCCCCCCUGGGGANUACGGUCCCAAGGCUGAAACNCAAAGGAAAUNACNGGGGACCCCCCAANUGGGGGG